rnacentral:lncRNA from 1 species
UUUUUUUUUUUUUUUUUUGAGACAGAGUCUUGCUCUGUCACCCAGGCUGGAGUGCAGUGGCGCGAUCCAGGCUCACUGCAAGCUCCGCCUCCUGGGUUCACGCCAUUCUCCUGCCUCAGCCUCCCGAGUAGCUGGAUUACAGGCACCUGCCACAAUGCCCCGCUAAUUUUUUUUGCAUUUUUAGUAGAGACGGGGUUUAACAUGUUAGAUGGUCUUGAUCUCCUGACCUAGUGAUCUGCUCUCCUUGGCCUCCCAAAGUGCUGGGAUUACAGGCGUGAGCCACCAAGCCCAGCCAAGACUGGGUGAUUUAUAACUAAAAGAGAUUCCGUUGACUUACAGUUCCACAUGGCUGGGGAGGUCUCAGGAAACUUACAAUCACGGCAGAAGGGGAAGCAAACACGUCCUUCUUCACAUGGCAGCAGGAGAGAGAAGCAUGAAGGAGGAACUUCCAAAUACUUACAAAGCUGUCAGAUCACAAGUGAACUCACUCACUAUCACAAGAACAGCAUGGGGGAGGCCACCCCCGGGAUCCAGCCACCUCCCUCCCUCAACACGUGGGGAUUACAAUUUGAGAUGACAUGUGGGUGGGGACACGGAGCCAAACAGUAUCACCUGCUUCAAGAAGGGAAGUGCCUUGAUCCCUGAACCAUCCUCCAAGCUGGUGGCCGCACUGUGCUUCUCACCUGUGGACUCCAGGUCAGGAGGAGAUGCUAGGACCCCCUUUUGUUCUGGGUGCUCCCCAUACAGAGCAGCUCGACUUUGAAAAAAUAGUUAGGAAAGAAACCUUAGCCCAUCAGGCCCAUGCUUGUUCCCGGUUUAGAAAAGUAAUGUUUCAGAUCAUCACACUAAGUAUCCAGAUAGGAGGGCGAAGCCAGUCACCCCAAUGCUCUGAGUGAUCAGAGACCCCAAUCCUUCCUGGGCCGUCCCCAGCAUGGCUCCCUGACUCCUAGGUCAAAGCAGGCUCCUGCGCUUUCCUGGCCCCUCCUGUCCUGGUGCAGGAGGAGCUGGGACCCACUGGCCUCAAGAAGGCAGGGGAUUGGCCGGAGGCGCAGAGCCCUAGGAUCUCAGGCCUGUCAGGAGGGUCUUCCCCUGCAACCAUCCACCCUGAUCCAGAACCGUGGGGGCAGUGCCAGGCUUGGGCCUCUCCUUGGGAGCCUCUGGCUGCAGUUCCCUCCCAGGAAGCAUCCUCGAGGGGACAGGGACCCGGGGGAUCUGAGGGAGCACUGGGUUCUAGCAGACUGUGGGGGUCCCAGGUGUCUCCCCAGCCCCCUUCCAGCCCUCACCAGCUCCCCUGUGAGGCCAGCCCCACCUGCCCACCUCAAAAGCUACCCUAGAUCCAACAGCCUGAGCUGGGGACAUACAGGACCUAUUCGCCUGCCUCGGGACCCCUAUAGCUGAGUGCCAUCCUAACCACCAUCCGUCACCGGGGGUUGGGGGUGGAUGGAGGUCUGAGGCCGCUUUUGUUUUUCCUUCUGCCACUGCAGCUAAGAUGGCCC